rnacentral:rRNA from 1 species
ACACUCCUACGGGAGGCAGCAGUGGGGAAUAUUGGACAAUGGGCGCAAGCCUGAUCCAGCCAUGCCGCGUGAGUGAUGAAGGCCCUAGGGUUGUAAAGCUCUUUCACCGGAGAAGAUAAUGACGGUAUCCGGAGAAGAAGCCCCGGCUAACUUCGUGCCAGCAGCCGCGGUAAUACGAAGGGGGCUAGCGUUGUUCGGAAUUACUGGGCGUAAAGCGCACGUAGGCGGAUCGAUCAGUCAGGGGUGAAAUCCCAGGGCUCAACCCUGGAACUGCCUUUGAUACUGUCGAUCUGGAGUAUGGAAGAGGUGAGUGGAAUUCCGAGUGUAGAGGUGAAAUGCGUAGAUAUUCGGAGGAACACCAGUGGCGAAGGCGGCUCACUGGUCCAUUACUGACGCUGAGGUGCGAAAGCGUGGGGAGCAAACAGGAUUAGAAACCCGGGUAGUCCCA